UAGAUUAAGUUAUUAAGGGCGCACGGUGGAUGCCUUGGCACUAGAAGCCGAUGAAGGACGUUACUAACGACGAUAUGCUUUGGGGAGCUGUAAGUAAGCUUUGAUCCAGAGAUUUCCGAAUGGGGAAACCCAGCAUGAGUUAUGUCAUGUUAUCGAUAUGUGAAUACAUAGCAUAUCAGAAGGCACACCCGGAGAACUGAAACAUCUUAGUACCCGGAGGAAGAGAAAGAAAAUUCGAUUCCCUUAGUAGCGGCGAGCGAAACGGGAAGAGCCCAAACCAACAAGCUUGCUUGUUGGGGUUGUAGGACACUCUAUACGGAGUUACAAAGGACGACAUUAGACGAAUCAUCUGGAAAGAUGAAUCAAAGAAGGUAAUAAUCCUGUAGUCGAAAAUGUUGUCUCUCUUGAGUGGAUCCUGAGUACGACGGAGCACGUGAAAUUCCGUCGGAAUCUGGGAGGACCAUCUCCUAAGGCUAAAUACUCUCUAGUGACCGAUAGUGAACCAGUACCGUGAGGGAAAGGUGAAAAGCACCCCGGAAGGGGAGUGAAAUAGAACCUGAAACCGUGUGCUUACAAGUAGUCAGAGCCCGUUAAUGGGUGAUGGCGUGCCUUUUGUAGAAUGAACCGGCGAGUUACGAUUUGAUGCAAGGUUAAGCAGUAAAUGUGGAGCCGUAGCGAAAGCGAGUCUGAAUAGGGCGUUUAGUAUUUGGUCGUAGACCCGAAACCAGGUGAUCUACCCUUGGUCAGGUUGAAGUUCAGGUAACACUGAAUGGAGGACCGAACCGACUUACGUUGAAAAGUGAGCGGAUGAACUGAGGGUAGCGGAGAAAUUCCAAUCGAACCUGGAGAUAGCUGGUUCUCUCCGAAAUAGCUUUAGGGCUAGCCUCAAGUGAUGAUUAUUGGAGGUAGAGCACUGUUUGGACGAGGGGCCCCUCUCGGGUUACCGAAUUCAGACAAACUCCGAAUGCCAAUUAAUUUAACUUGGGAGUCAGAACAUGGGUGAUAAGGUCCGUGUUCGAAAGGGAAACAGCCCAGACCACCAGCUAAGGUCCCAAAAUAUAUGUUAAGUGGAAAAGGAUGUGGCGUUGCCCAGACAACUAGGAUGUUGGCUUAGAAGCAGCCAUCAUUUAAAGAGUGCGUAAUAGCUCACUAGUCGAGUGACACUGCGCCGAAAAUGUACCGGGGCUAAACAUAUUACCGAAGCUGUGGAUUGUCCUUUGGACAAUGGUAGGAGAGCGUUCUAAGGGCGUUGAAGCAUGAUCGUAAGGACAUGUGGAGCGCUUAGAAGUGAGAAUGCCGGUGUGAGUAGCGAAAGACGGGUGAGAAUCCCGUCCACCGAUUGACUAAGGUUUCCAGAGGAAGGCUCGUCCGCUCUGGGUUAGUCGGGUCCUAAGCUGAGGCCGACAGGCGUAGGCGAUGGAUAACAGGUUGAUAUUCCUGUACCACCUAUAAUCGUUUUAAUCGAUGGGGGGACGCAGUAGGAUAGGCGAAGCGUGCGAUUGGAUUGCACGUCUAAGCAGUAAGGCUGAGUAUUAGGCAAAUCCGGUACUCGUUAAGGCUGAGCUGUGAUGGGGAGAAGACAUUGUGUCUUCGAGUCGUUGAUUUCACACUGCCGAGAAAAGCCUCUAGAUAGAAAAUAGGUGCCCGUACCGCAAACCGACACAGGUAGUCAAGAUGAGAAUUCUAAGGUGAGCGAGCGAACUCUCGUUAAGGAACUCGGCAAAAUGACCCCGUAACUUCGGGAGAAGGGGUGCUCUUUAGGGUUAACGCCCAGAAGAGCCGCAGUGAAUAGGCCCAAGCGACUGUUUAUCAAAAACACAGGUCUCUGCUAAACCGUAAGGUGAUGUAUAGGGGCUGACGCCUGCCCGGUGCUGGAAGGUUAAGAGGAGUGGUUAGCUUCUGCGAAGCUACGAAUCGAAGCCCCAGUAAACGGCGGCCGUAACUAUAACGGUCCUAAGGUAGCGAAAUUCCUUGUCGGGUAAGUUCCGACCCGCACGAAAGGCGUAACGAUUUGGGCACUGUCUCAACGAGAGACUCGGUGAAAUCAUAGUACCUGUGAAGAUGCAGGUUACCCGCGACAGGACGGAAAGACCCCGUGGAGCUUUACUGUAGCCUGAUAUUGAAAUUCGGCACAGCUUGUACAGGAUAGGUAGGAGCCUUUGAAACGUGAGCGCUAGCUUACGUGGAGGCGCUGGUGGGAUACUACCCUAGCUGUGUUGGCUUUCUAACCCGCACCACUUAUCGUGGUGGGAGACAGUGUCAGGCGGGCAGUUUGACUGGGGCGGUCGCCUCCUAAAAGGUAACGGAGGCGCUCAAAGGUUCCCUCAGAAUGGUUGGAAAUCAUUCAUAGAGUGUAAAGGCAUAAGGGAGCUUGACUGCGAGACCUACAAGUCGAGCAGGGUCGAAAGACGGACUUAGUGAUCCGGUGGUUCCGCAUGGAAGGGCCAUCGCUCAACGGAUAAAAGCUACCCCGGGGAUAACAGGCUUAUCUCCCCAAGAGUUCACAUCGACGGGGAGGUUUGGCACCUCGAUGUCGGCUCAUCGCAUCCUGGGGCUGUAGUCGGUCCCAAGGGUUGGGCUGUUCGCCCAUUAAAGCGGUACGCGAGCUGGGUUCAGAACGUCGUGAGACAGUUCGGUCCCUAUCCGUCGUGGGCGUAGGAAAUUUGAGAGGAGCUGUCCUUAGUACGAGAGGACCGGGAUGGACAUACCUCUGGUGUACCAGUUGUCGUGCCAACGGCAUAGCUGGGUAGCUAUGUGUGGACGGGAUAAGUGCUGAAAGCAUCUAAGCAUGAAGCCCCCCUCAAGAUGAGAUUUCCCAACUUCGGUUAUAAGAUCCCUCAAAGAUGAUGAGGUUAAUAGGUUCGAGGUGGAAGCAUGGUGACAUGUGGAGCUGACGAAUACUAAUCGAUCGAAGACUUAAUCAA
rnacentral:rRNA from 1 species